GCUACCCAUUCCAUAUUCUUCAGCAAGCACCUUGGCUGGUUAUGAUUCCUUACCCAGUAGGAUGUCGCAAACCUUCAUUCAUGAAGAAUCUGGGCCACGAACAGAUCUGCCACAAUUAGAUUGUUGCAGUUUGCCAUUGACUUUAAUCCAGGGUAUAGUGCUAAGGCACUUCCUGAAUAUCAGACAUACUCUUCCUUACCUCCAUUAUGUGAAACAGCACCGUAUACUGGAUGCCAAUUUAGAGUAAAUACAGCCUCCUGGAGAACCUUGCCCCAACCCUGCAAGAUACUGCCAACUCGCUGGUUCUGUAAGGCAGUCUUCAAGUGGCCAUUACACUACUCUAUCCAGCCAACUGCUUCAGGAUGGUGGGAAAUAUGCUUUAUUAAGGGAUAAUUCUCAUACAAGAAAUCAUGAUGAACGUGUACAAGUGGAUAAGCUUUGACAUCUGUACGUAUCCCUGCAACCACCAGACUGAUGAAGGCAGUGACCAUAACCAUCACUCCUCCAAGCUUUCUUGUGCCCUUGGUGAUUCCUCCCUACCUCAGCCUCCUCCCCUCCACCCUCCUUCCUUGGGGCAACCACUGAUCUGUUUGCUGUCACAAGGGUUAUUAGUUUAGCAUUACUUUUAAUAAUCUGUAACGAAACUGAAAUCAUCCUUUUCACGCAAUUUGAAAAAAGAAAAGAUCUGCUUUGUUUCCUAACUGGAAGAAAAAGUAACAACCCUAAGAGCAAAAGGGUGACACACAGGUCAUUAGAAAACACUCUUAAUUGAGUAAUGAUUGUGCAGAUUCUCUUUCAUACUCCACAGCCUAAUGCUAAUUGGAUUAAAGAGUCAAGAAUCCAGGAAAUGAAGUAAAAGAGGAGGUGUGUUGAUUUUAAUAAAUAGGGUUUUUUUUUUCCCUGUCUCAUCUGUCAGCUUAUUUCUAAUUAAUAAAUGGAUUUUCAAAACCUGGCCAAAAAUAACAGCGGUUCAAAUACACGAUAUGGUUCUUAAAAAAAAAAAAAAGCAGCUGCAUGUUGGAGUUCUCUGCAAUAAUAAAGUGAAUUGUUGCAAAUGAUAUUAAAACCC